GUUCAUUGACAAGAGAAGAAAUAGCAGCAUCAUGAAGGGGAUAUUGUACUUGCAGGAAGACAUUUACAGAGGCAGGAAGUCAUUUCUCAUCUCUUUAGCAAGCAUGUCAAGAAUGACUGUAAGGAGAAACCUGCAAACUAUAGACCUGUGAGCCUGACAUCAGUGGUGGUCAAUUAUUCACCAUCUUCAGCUGCUUCAUCAAUGACCUUCCCUCCAACAUAAGGACAUAAGUGGGGAUGUUCACAAAUGAUUGCACAAUAUUCAGCACCAUUCACAACUCCUCAAAUACUCAAGCAAUCAUGUCCAAAUGUAACAAGAUCUGGGCAAUGUUCAAGCUUGGGCUGCCAAGUAACAAAUAACAUUCACAUCACACAAAUGCCAGACGAUGACCAUCUCCAAUAAGAGACAUUCUAUCCACUGCCCCUUGACAUUCAAUGGUGUUACCACCACUCAAUCUCCCACUGUCAACAUCCUGGGGGUUACUAUUGACCAGAAACUCAACUGGACUCACCACAUAAACACAAUGUCUAUAAGCACAGGUCAGAAGAUAGGAAUACCACAGUAAGUAUCUCACCACCUGACUCCCCAAAGUCUGUCCACCAUCUACAAGGCACAAGCCAGGAAUGUGAUGAAAUAGUCCCCAUUUUCCUGGAUGAUGCCAUCUAAGACAAAGCAGCCUGCUUGAUUGGACCCACAUCCUGAACAUCCAGUUCCUCCACCACUGAUGCUCAGUAGCAGCAAUGUAUACUAUCCACAAGAUGCUCCACAGAAAUUCACUAAAGAUCCUUAGUCUGCAUCUUCUAAACCUUUGAUCACUUCUAUAGAAUAGAAUCUCUACAGUGUGGAAACAGACCGUCUGGCCCAACAAGUCCACACCGAACCUCAGAGCAUCCCAGCCAGAACCAUUCCCUAUAACCCACCUAAUCUACACCUCCCUGAACACUACGGCUAAUUUGGCAUGGCCAAACCACCUAACGUACGCAUCUUUGGACUGUGGGAGGAAACCAGAACAAACCCGCACAGACACGGGGAGAACAUGCAAACUCCACACAGACAAUCAUCCGAGGGUGGAAUCGAACGUGGAUCCCCAGCACUUUGAGGCAACAGUGUUAAACACUGAGCCAGUGUGCUGCCCUAUCUAGAAUGACAAGGGCACCUCCAAGCCAACCAGCUUCCUGAAGUGGAAAUAGAUCACUGUUCCUUCACCGUUGCUGGGUCAAUAUCCUGGAAUUGCCACCCUCAAGACAUUGAGGACCAAUCUACAGCGUACAGGCUGAAUUAGCUCAAGAAUAGAGCUCACUAACACUGUCCCCAGAGCAAUUAAGGAUGGGCAAUAAAUGCUGGCCAGCCAGUGACACCUACAAGUGAAUAAUUUGUUUUGAGAAGAGCUAUUUAAUAAAAGUAGAA